CACCCCUGGCAAUAGGCAAAGAAACACUCUGUUGGUUGUGGUAUUCUUAUAUUAGUCAGUGGCAGAGCAGAUGGACAUCCCUUGUACAUCCUAGCAUUAUGCCUGGCUUAGUGGCCACAGCUGUUUUAUGCCUAGGACACAUCA
ensembl:snoRNA LOC120096798 small nucleolar RNA SNORA48